AUAGGAAGGAACUCGGCAAACAUGAACAUCGCCUGUUUACCAAAAACAUCGCCUCUUGCAAUUAAGGAUAAGAGGUCCUGCCUGCCCAGUGACAUUAAGUUUAACGGCCGCGGUAUUAUGACCGUGCAAAGGUAGCGUAAUCACUUGUCUUUUAAAUAAAGACCAGUAUGAAUGGCAAGACGAAAGUUCAACUGUCUCCCUAAAUUAAUCAGUGAAAUUGAUUUCUCCGUGCAGAAGCGGAGACAAAAUUAUAAGACGAGAAGACCCUAUGGAGCUUUAAACAUAUAAUCAAUUGUAUUCUUCAUAAAAUCCGAAAGAUAAAAUAUAAAAUAAAACAAUAUGAUUAAAAUGAGAUGAAAAGAAUAUCUUAAUUAAGAACCACAAUUCCAAAAAAUAAAAAUAUUUAACAUAAUUGAUCCAAUAUUUUGAUCAACGAACCAAGUUACCCUAGGGAUAACAGCGCAAUCCUCUCCAAGAGUCCCUAUCGACGAGUGGGUUUACGACCUCGAUGUUGGAUCAGGACACCCCGAUGGUGCAGCCGCUAUUAAAGGUUCGUUUGUUCAACGAUUAAAGUCCUACGUGAUCUGG
rnacentral:rRNA from 1 species